rnacentral:rRNA from 1 species
UACGUAGGUGGCAAGCGUUGUCCGGAUUUACUGGGCGUAAAGAGCGCGCAGGCGGCUGGCCAAGUCCGAUGUGAAAUCUCCCGGCUUAACUGGGAAACUGCAUCGGAAACUGACCGGCUUGAAGGUGGGAGAGGGUAGUGGAAUUCCCGGUGUAGUGGUGAAAUUCGUAGAUAUUCGGAGGAACACCAGUGGCGAAGGCGGCUCACUGGUCCAUUACUGACGCUGAGGUGCGAAAGCGUGGGGAGCAAACAGG